rnacentral:rRNA from 1 species
GACAGAGGGUGCAAACGUUGUUCGGAUUUACUGGGCGUAAAGCGUGUGUAGGCGGCUUGGCAAGUUGGAUGUGAAAGCCCACGGCUCAACCGUGGAAGCGCAUCCAAAACUGCUUCGCUCGAGUCUCGGAGAGGAAGGUGGAAUGCUUGGUGUAGAGGUGAAAUUCGUAGAUAUCAAGCAGAACACCUGCGGCGAAGGCGGCCUUCUGGACGAUGACUGACGCUGAGACACGAAAGCGUGGGGAGCAAACAGGAUUAGAAACCCCAGUAGUCC